AUUUUCCCCGCUUGAGAAGCAAACACGGCUCAAGGUGAGCGAACCAGAACUCUAAAUAUUAAUUUUCUCUUUUCUCCCUUCUUCAAAAACCCUAGCCCCGGGUUCUUUGCACGACAAUAGAGCGACAGUGGACGUUCAAUUUUUGUCUGACGAUCGUUUGCAGCAACUAUACGACCGACGCGCCUUCGCAUGAGUUAGGUUACUUCUUCCUGUCGCUGCUUGAGUAUCUAGUGUGAUGGCCAGCAAUCCACAAUCUUCUGGGCCACAGCCUAUAAGGCCUUCUGUCGUAGGAUCUGCUGGUCCCCCUCCAAAUUUUGGUCCUCCCAUGCCUAUGCAGUUUAGAACUGUUGCUCCACCUCAACAAGCUCAUCAGUUCAAUCCGGUAGCUACCCAACAAUUCAGGCCAACUGUGCAAGGCAUGACUGGACCAAAUGUUGGAAUUUCUGGUCAAACUCAGGCGAUUCCUAUGCCCUACAUUCAACAAAAUAGAUCCAUCACAGCUGGUGCGCAAAGCAUGCAGUUGCCAAAUAAUAUUGUGCCUAAUAUAGGUGGUGUCGGGAUGCCUCUUUCUUCCUCGUACACGUUUGCAACAUCUUAUGGCCAACCGCUGAAUACCAUGAAUGCCUCUUCACAGUAUCAGCCAACGAUCCACGUGCAUGCACCUGUUGCACCUACUAGUGGACCAUCUUGGGGUACAUCAGGGACUCAAAGCUUAUCUCCUUUAACGCCCUUGAUGCACGCCACACAACAACCUAUAAUCAUUGGUUCUGUAGCGGGUACAAAUGUACAACCCGGUACGGCCGAGCAGGUAGCUUCUGAUUGGCAAGAACAUACUGCUGCAGAUGGAAAAAGAUAUUAUUAUAACAAAAAGACCAGGCAGUCUAGUUGGGCGAAACCUUUUGAACUCAUGACGCCUACUGAGAGGGCAGAUGCGUCGACUGAGUGGAAAGAAUUCCAGACUCCAGACGGUCGGAAAUAUUACUAUAACAAAGUGACAAAGCAAUCAAAAUGGUCAAUUCCUGAAGAGCUCAAGUUAGCCCGUGAGCAGGCUGAGAAGGCAGGGAAUCAGCCAGCCUCUGCUGAACCUGUAGUUGCUUCUAUUGCCCCAGCAGCUCAGAGUGCUGUUGUUGAGAUUCCUUCUUCAACAGCUCUAAAUGAUUCAACUCCCCCAGCAACAAGUGCAGUGGCAAGUCCAGUUUCAGCCCCAGUUUCAAAUCAGGCUGCUUCAUUGGCUUCAGGAUCAUCAUCUGUUGUUGAUGCACCUGCUGGAAUAGCUUCCAGUUCUUCCGUGGGAAUUGCAGUUCCUGUGUCUGUUUCAGACCUUAACAUCCCUGCUGCCUCAGUGAUGGCUUCUGUUUCUGGAAGCUCAGAGAUUGUUACUGCGGCAGCAGACAUCAUACUUGGGAGUACAAAGAGUAGUAAUGAGGAUUCAUCUCUACCAAAUGUUGUAAAUACAACUGAUGGAGCAUCUGCUCAGGACCUGGAGGAAGCAAAAAGGGGCAUGCCUACUGCUGGGAAAAUAAAUAUUACUCCCUUGGAAGAAAAAUCAGUUGAUGAGGAGCCUUUGGUUUAUGCUAAUAAGCAGGAGGCUAAAAAUGCCUUUAAAUCACUGCUUGAAUCUGCCAAUGUUGAAUCUGAUUGGACUUGGGAACAGGCUAUGAGAGUCAUCAUAAAUGACAAAAGAUACGGUGCUCUAAAGACCCUGGGGGAGAGGAAACAAGCGUUUAAUGAGUAUUUGGGCCAAAGGAAGAAACAAGAUGCUGAGGAGAAGCGUAAUAGGCAGAAAAAAGUUCGCGAGGAUUUUACAAAAAUGUUAGAGGAAUGCAAUGAACUCACUUCAUCCAUGAAAUGGAGCAAAGCUAUAACCAUGUUUGAAAAUGAUGAGCGGUUCAGCGCUGUUGACCGGCCUAGAGAUCGUGAAGAUCUUUUUGAGAUCUACCUCGUUGAACUUCAGAAGAAGGAAAGAGCAAAGGCAGCUGAUGAUCAUAAACAUAAUAUAAUUGAAUAUAGAGCUUUUCUGGAAUCUUGUGACUUUAUCAAGGCAACUACCCAAUGGAGGAAAGUGCAGGAUCGGUUGGAGGAUGAUGAAAGAUGUUCUCGACUAGAAAAAAUUGACCGUCUUGAGAUUUUUCAGGAGUACAUUCAAGAUCUAGAGAAGGAAGAAGAGGAGCAAAAGAAGAUACAUAGGGAGCAAUUACGGCGCCAAGAGCGAAAAAAUCGUGAUGCAUUCCGCAAGUUGAUGGAAGGUGACAUUGCUGCUGGCAUUCUUACAGCUAAGACACACUGGCGUGAUUAUUGUAUGAAGGUCAAGGAUUCCUCAUCAUACCUGGCAGUAGCAUCAAACACUGCUGGCUCAACACCAAAAGAUCUAUUUGAAGAUGUUGCAGAGGAGCUUGACAAGCAGUUUCAUGAUGACAAGGCACUAAUCAAAGAGGCUAUGAAGACUGGAAAAAUUACUUUGACAUCAGCAUGGACAUUUGAUAAGCUGAAGGCUUCAAUAUCUGAGAACGAUAUGUUGAAAGGAUUAUCUGAGAUCAACUUAAAGCUCGUCUUUGAUGAACUCUUGGAGCGUCAGAAAGAAAAAGAUGAGAAAGAAGCCAAAAAGCGCCAACGACUUGUAGAUAAUUUUUCCGACCUGCUUUAUUCAAUCAAGGAUAUAAAUGCAUCUUCAAAAUGGGAGGAAUCUAGGUCAUUUUUUGAAGACAGUCAAGAAUAUAGAUCAAUUGGAGAAGAGAGCUCUGCAAGGGAGAUUUUUGAGGAUUAUGUUUCUCUUUUGCAAGAAAAGGCAAAAGAAAAGGAGCGCAAAAGAGAUGAAGAGAAGGUUAAAAAAGAGAGGGAAAGAGAAGAGAAGGAAAAAAGGAGGGAGAAAGAAAGAAAGGAAAAAGAGAGAGAACGUGAAAAGGACAAAUUGAAGGAACGGUCAAAAAGGGAUGAUGUAGAUAGUGAAAAUGUUGAUGCCUCCAAUAACCAUGGAAUGAAGGAUAGGAAGCGUGAAAAAGACAAGGAUAGGAAGCAUAGAAAACAUCAUCACAAUGCGGGAGAUGAUAUAAGCUCUGAGAAAGAUGAGAAAGAAGAGUCCAAGAAGUCAAGAAGGCAUAGUAGUGAGAAGAAAAAAUCUAGAAAGCAUGGAUACGGCACUGAUUCCGACAGUGAAAACCGGCACAAGAGACAUAAGAAAGAUAGAGAUGGAUCCCGCAGAAAUGGUGCCUAUGAGGAGCUUGAAGAUGGUGAGCUUGGAGAGGAUGGAGAAAUUCGCUAGUGCAAGUUGCAACUUGCUGUUUAUGACUCGGCAGUCAUACUUGCAUCAUGAUGAAUGGUUUGUAUACCAUGAGGCUUUUAGCUUCAGAGAAGGGUAUCAUUAAUAUCAAAAGCACUGUCUAAUGCUGAGCCCAAUUACAAAAUGAUUUGCUAAUGGAAACAGUUUGGAAGCUACUGUUGGAAGCAUUUGCAGAUAAGGAUUAGUAGAGAAGUUUGAAACGUGUUAAGAGCAUUUCCCAUCCAUUUGUCUCGAAUGGCAUUAGGAUGGAGGCCCCACUUUCUUUCCAUUUCAUCCACCACCUUAAAACCAAUCGAUGGAAGUAAACAGAAGGUAGCAACUAAUAGUUUCAGGUUCUUUCUCGUCAUUCCUCCUGCUAUAUGUUUGGGUUAAGAGAGAAUAAUCUAUGUGAUAAGGGGUUCUGUUGAACUUGUAAUCAGUUGCAUUUAUUUUUAUGUACUAUUUUAGGUGGCAUUAUUUUAGUCUAUAUACUAACGUCUAUACUUGACCUAAAUAAAAGUUUAGCUUGGGCAGUUCCAUCA